rnacentral:rRNA from 1 species
UUGGAGGGCAAGUCUGGUGCCAGCAGCCGCGGUAAUUCCAGCUCCAAUAGCGUAUAUUAAAGUUGUUGCAGUUAAAAAGCUCGUAGUUGAAUUUCGGGGUUAGUAGGUUGGUCAUGCCUCUGGUAUGUACUGGUCUCACUGAUUCCUCCUUCCUGAUGAACCGUAAUGCCAUUAAUUUGGUGUUGCGGGGAAUUUGGACUGUUACUUUGAAAAAAUUAGAGUGUUUAAAGCAAGCUAACGCUUGAAUACAUUAGCAUGGAAUAAUGAAAUAGGACGUUCGAUCCUAUUUUGUUGGUUUCUAGGAUUGACGUAAUGAUUAAUAGGGAUAGUUGGGGGCAUUAGUAUUCAAUUGUCAGAGGUGAAAUUCUUGGAUUUAUUGAAGACUAACUACUUCGAAAGCAUUUGCCAAGGAUGUUUUCAUUAAUCAAGAACGAAAGUUAGGGGAUCGAAGACGAUCAGAUACCGUCGUAGUCUUAACCAUAAACUAUGCCGACUAGGGAUCGGAUGAUGUUAAUUUUUUAAUGACUCAUUSGGCGCCUUACGGGAAAC